AUCCAGAUGACGAGUCCUAAAUAGGACGAAGCGCGUGUUAUCCUGAAU
rnacentral:hammerhead_ribozyme from 1 species